UCAAGCAUGUGUUUCAGAAAUUACUCACCGCUGGCGGAACUCGUGAAAGACGAUACGAUUGGGGAAGCCUUGGCGACAGAUGCGGAUUCCUUCCAGUACACCAUUACAGCUCAACUGCUCUAGAACCAGCCCAGGACCUCCAUGGCCUCCAGAGUCUCCUCCAACAUCUCAUCAUCUUGCUGGUUUUGUACCUGCACGUGCCCAGCCACCAGGAAACGGUAGUUACCAAAGUCUUCUAGCAAGAGCUCAUCUGUGGAAGAGAAUAAUCGCUAGUGGCAUUAUCAGUGACGGCAUAGAUGUGAGGAGGAACCUCAUGACGCUUCUUCCCCUUGUACAUCUCAAUGAUCUUCUCAGAGUAGAUGGGCAACAUCUUAUAGGGGUUUAUCACCACACAGAAGAGGCCUGAACACCCCUUGUACCCUAUUUUGAAAACCCCUAUCAUCAGGAUAUGAUGAAGACUUUUGCAGUUUAGACGAAGAAUAAGGUGAAGUUUGAAUGCACUUACAUAAAUGAGACCUGAGAAAUACCUCUCCCUGAGGUUGUGCAGCACUGAGGCCUCAUUCAGGCAGCUCAACAACCACCUCAUUCCCCGUCUCUUCUUUGAUGCUGGCUGACUGAAAACCUUCCUUUUCUGAGGGUAUCCACACCAUCUUUUUGGUCGACCAAUCGGCCUGGGCCACCCCAGUGUUUUUGAAGUCAUUGUCAAGG